rnacentral:lncRNA from 10 species
ACCUCAGGCAAUCCACCUGCCUCGGCCUCCCAAAGUGUUGGCAUUACAGGCUUGGCUCUUAUAAUUUUAUUAACAGAUGAAACAGACUUUAAGCAAAAAUUAGACAUAACAUGGGACAUUUUUUAGAGAUGAAUGUCUUAGAAAGUAUGUAAAAGUUUAUGUAUUUCAAAACAUAGUCUCAAGAUAUAUAAAUCAAAAAUUGAUAUAAGUAUAAAGAAAAAUAGGCAAAAUAACCAAAGUGAAAAAUUUCAGCAUAUAAACAGGAGAUCAGUAGAGGAAAUGUAGAGAACACAACUGGUAAGUAACACCUAAAAGACAAAACAGAAGAGAAUAACAGAAUUCUGCACUCAUGAACUGGAGAAUACAUAUUCUUUUCAAAUAUUCAUUUAAAAAUUACA